ACGAAAUAUCUCCUGUCAUCAAACAAACAGUCAGCGCACUCGCGUCUUGGCUCCCACGUCACUGUUGACAGUCAUACCUUUGAAGUAGUAGAUAGUUUUGUUUACUUGGGAACCAGCGUUAACAACACCAACAAUGUCAGCCUUGAAAUCCAACGCAGAAUCACUCUUGCCAAUAGGUGUUACUUUGGACUGAGUAGGCAAUUGCAAAGUAAAGUCCUCUCUCGACGAACAAAAAUUAAACUCUACAAGUCGCUCAUUAUUCCCGUCCUGAUGUAUGGCGCCGAAGCGUGGACGAUGACAACAUCCGAUGAAACGACACUUGGGGUUUUCGAGAGAAAGGUUUUGCGUAAGAUUUAUGGUCCUCUGAACAUUGGCAACGGCGAAUACCGCAGACGAUGGAACGAUGAGCUGUACGAUUUAUACGACGACAUUGACAUAGUUCAGCGAAUAAAAAGACAGCGGUUACGCUGGCUAGGUCAUGUUAUACGAAUGGAUGAAAACACUCCAGCUCUGAAAGUGUUCGAUGCAGUACCGGCUGGAGGAAGCCGCGGAAGAGGACGACCUCCAUUCCGGUGGAAAGUGACCUGGCUUCACUUGGUGUUUCCAGUUGGUAACAAAAAGCAAAAAGGAGGAACGAGUGGCGUGCUCUGGUGGAUUCGGCUAUAAUCGCUUAAAGCGGUUUCUACGAAAAAUAUAUAUAUCUGCCUUAUCUGAGUACAAGAGUCAUAAAAGACUUCAAAUGCUAAAACUCAGAAUAUAAUUCUGGUGACGAUCUUUUGUGAACCGAUCAAGUGCACAUUUUAACCAAUGUCAAGGAAAUUUGGAAUGUAUAAAACAAUUGAGCAACUUGAAAUGUUCGUGGAGGUCUAGGAAAGGUUGAAAAGGAUCAGUCAUCAUGCUGCGUACCAUUAGUCAACCUCGACUGUGCAAUGGAACAAGAUUGGCUGUGAAAAAGCUGGUGAAUAACAUCAUUGAGGCAACAAUCAUAAAAGGAAAAUGCAGAUCGCGCGGAUUCCGAUGAUUCCAACGGAUUUACCAUUCGAUUUUAAAUGCUUACAAUUUGCAGCACUUCUGGCCUUUGCAAUGGCCAUAAAUAAAUCGCAGGGACAGUCGUUAGUAGUUUGCGGAAUCAACUUGGAGUUCCCCUGUUUCGCGCAUGGACGAUAAUACGUCGCGUGGUCGCUCAUCGGAAUUUAUUUACACACCACAAAACAAAACCAAAACAUGGCCUACUCGCAGGCAUUCGUAUGCAAUGCAGAACCCUCUAGAUUCUGCCGGUAUCACUGCAGCCACUGUUGCUAUCACACUCACUGCUAGUAGUGCAUUGCGUCAGCAGUUGAUUGAAGGAUUAUCCGAAUACGAAUUCGAAGGAAAAUUCUUGGAAGAACAUCAAAGCAAGCUGUAAGAAUAAAUGAAGAAAAGCGAAAGCACACACAAAAAGUUAAUUGGAAGACACUGAAACAGGAAAAACAUUUUGUAUCCGUUGCUUGUUUUUGUUUUUGUUAAGAAAGCACGACGAUUUCUGCAUUGCGUGUGCUGCAAUUGAAGAAAAGCUUAAAUCAACUAAUGACGGUGGAUGCGUGAAAGUACAAACAUACAUACAUACAAACGUGUAUAGACACGUAAAUGUAAAUGAAUGCACACAAGGAAGUUUCCGUCGGCGUUAUUAAUGAAUGUGAAAGUUUAAUAAAGAAGAAUUACGUUAUUAUCCUUAAAGGAAAAAAAUGUUAAAAAUAAAAUGCUCAUUGCAAAGUUAUAACAUUUAUGCCACUUACUGCCCAAGUUCGGCAUAUAAAAUUACUUCGCGUGGUUUUUCUUUUUGUUCGCAUUGCG